rnacentral:tRNA from 1 species
ACCACGGUGGUCUAGCGGUUAGAACGCUGGUCUUGUAAUCCUGGGGUCUCGGGUUCGAUUCCCGGCGGUGCCA